rnacentral:rRNA from 1 species
UACGUAGGGUGCGAGCGUUGUCCGGAAUUAUUGGGCGUAAAGAGCUUGUAGGCGGUUUGUCGCGUCUGCCGUGAAAAUCCGAGGCUCAACCUCGGACUUGCGGUGGGUACGGGCAGACUAGAGUGUGGUAGGGGAGACUGGAAUUCCUGGUGUAGCGGUGAAAUGCGCAGAUAUCAGGAGGAACACCGAUGGCGAAGGCAGGUCUCUGGGCCACUACUGACGCUGAGGAGCGAAAGCCAGGGGAGCAAACGGG